AUCUAGGGCCAUACCACCCUGAGCACACCCAGUCUCGUCUGAUCUUGGAAGCUGAGCAGGAUCGGGCCUGGUUAGUACUUGGAUGGGAGACCAGGACCAGUGAGGCAUGAAGUACUUUGAUC
rnacentral:rRNA from 1 species